AAGUCGUAACAAGGUUUCCGUAGGUGAACCUGCGGAAGGAUCAUUAAAGAAAUGAUUUUUUUUGGGGUUUUUUAACCUCAAAAAAUAAUUCACCUUUUGUGCACUGUUAUAAGAUAUACUUUGGUUUGAGCUUUGAUUUCAAUUAAUGGAAUCAACUUCUUGCUGACUCUAUCCUGUUAAGGACAGUUAGCUAUGAAGCGGCCUACCAAGGUUUUUUAUCAAACACUUGUAUUUUGUCUGACCUAAAAUCAUUAUAAUUAAAUCAUAACUUUCAACAACGGAUCUCUUGGCUCUC
rnacentral:misc_RNA from 1 species